UCAGUAAAGAUUUUAAUUAAUAGUUUAUAGUAUUAUAGCAAACUGUGCUCUUGAGGAGACACCAGAUACACUUAGACAUAGGCUAUUAAUCUUUUAGAGCUACUAUAUGCAAAGUGAUGAGAAAGUGAGCUCCAAAGGGGUGUCAGUACACUCUACAAACCAUAACAGGUAUGUUCCCAAGUCCUUCAAAUGCCAUCUCUUCGAUCACACAAUACAGAUAAAGAUACUUGUGUUCCACUUUCUAAUACCUAAACUGUGUCUUAGAGCACUUCAAACUACAUUACCAUGUACAGUAAGAGCAGGAGAGGUACGCAAACUUUCUGGACUUCGGACAAGCGUUUCAUGGUGCUGCUACUACUUCACUGCAUUGAGAGCUGGAAAAUAUGCUUUGUUCCAUGCAGUUAUAAACACACUUUAAUUCUGUGAAACGUACAUGUUAUAAAAUUAUUUCAUAUUGGAGAUAUAGGUACAUAAACUGACAAAUCGGUGUUUUUUCACACAAAUCAAGCUGAAUAAAAGAAAACUCGGCACUAACAUAGCAACUGUAGCUAUCAGUAGUGCUGGGUCUAUGUGUGCAUGAUGCCUGAUUGCUUUGAAUUUCUCUUUUAGGCCCCCUACGAGAAAAAUAAGCAGAUAUAGGGAUCAUUGUGUACUUUCUUGAGCGCAACUCGCCUCCAACCAGAGGGUGUGACGUCACACACUGCAUUUACCUAGCAUCACGUGGGGCGUUGCCUAUCCCUUUCUUUCGUGUAUCUAUGCUAUAAGGGAACAGGUCCAAUAGUACUGCCUGUAGAGACUUGUUGACUGUCAUGGCAUAGUCCUUGCCCAGGUCAUGACGACAGUUGGGGCAGCUGUACACGUCUUGAAGGAACGACUCAGACACGUCUAGUGUGGAUGUUGUGGCUGCAGGUGGUAGUGACGGGCUGGUAGAACACCUCCUGACACAUGAUGCAGUUGAAUGUCUCCUGGAUACGACUCAGCAGACCAGCCUUAGGGAGGAAACAAAGAAACCAAAACAUUGUGUACAUGCAGUAUACAGUACUCUACAGUACAUGCAGUGCAGUACAAUACCUUUACCAUCCAGUAUUAAAAUAAAUAGUACAACCAAUUUAUUUAUUGCAUUGUGAAGUGCACAAACUCAUUCAAAAAUAUGCUUUAAU